GGAUGUGAGGGUGUUCUGGCUGUGACAUCUGUCCCCUUCCUCCAUCACCACUCCAUUUGCAUCCCUCCUGAAGCUGCAUAGUUGGUGGAAAAGGACAACAUCCCAGAUAUAGAAGUAGUUUACUGAGGUCUCCAGUCUUCAGUCCCAGGUAUACGAUAGCUGCGCUUUCCUGCUAGAACCUCCAAACUAUAGAAUAGAACAGAUUAGAAUAGCUUUAUUGUCAUUGUGCUACUGCAAUGACAAUAG
rnacentral:snRNA from 1 species